CGAAUUAGAUAUAUGUUCCUAUAAGUAUUGGUUUUUGUGAUUUGCUUCUUUGUUGGAUAUUGUAUUUUAAUAUUUGAUUUGUUUCGUAGAGUUACAGAUAUCCAGAUUUUUUGGUUUAAAUCAAAACGGAAAACGAAUCGAAUCAAAAUUUAUGAAUAUUUUGUUCAACUUUAUCUGUAAACAAUAAAAAUAAUAUAUAUAUAGUUUGGCUUUUGAUUCGUUAUCUAGUUUUAUUCGAACUGAAAAAUCCAGGGUUUUAUUAGAACUAUGUAUGUGAGUUUUAUAUUAAGAAAACACAAAAUACAUAGUGUAAACACAUUUAUGGAUAUAGUGUGAACGCGUUAACAUAUUUAUUAUCAAAUCAUUGUGAGACUGGCACGUGUCUAUUAUAGUGUGGAUGCAUUUAUUACAAUGCUUCUCUUUUAAUAUAUAAGGGAUAAGAUGGAAGAAAAAGUACUAUAAAUUUGCUAAUAAAACUGUAGGAACAAGUCAUGCAAUUAGUCGAGUGAUACUGUCAAAUAUACAGUUUAAGAGUUAUAUGAUUGUUUUUAUAUAUGGCAUUUGUUUCUCUCAGAUUAAGCUCAUUUUCUUGGAGUUUUCUUCUUCCUAUUUUACUAUUGGCUUAUUUUUAUUUAAAUCAUAAAAUGUAAAGGAGAUUAGUUACAGCUAUUUUCUUCAUGUUGGUGAAAAUGACGUGAAAACAGUAACAUUUUUUUUUCCUUUCACCAUAGUGCUUUCCACUUCUUAAUGCACCAAUUACGGCAGGGGAAUUAGAUACGAAUCUAUGCUCUUAAAGUCCUUGGUUAAUAGGCAAUGGUAAUGAUAGGUUAAUGUGAAAAGCAUUGGAGAAAUGUAAAUAAGAGAAAGUAUAAGUGGGACAUGUAAUGCCUCGUGAUUUGCAGGUUUUACGGGAUUCCUUUCAAUUGUUAGGUUGGUUAUUUUGACAGUUUAAUCAGAAAAAAGCAUGCUAGUCUUGGGACAACGUGAUCAAACGAUACGGUUGGUUAGAGAAAGAAGAGAAAAUGAGUACAAUAAAAAGAAUAAAAUAACAAUAAGGUCACUUGUUACUAGAAAACAGUAAAAUAAAAUAUAAUAAUUUUUUUAAAAAUAUAAUAAUUUUUAAUAGAUUAAUAACAUUAGACCAUCAUGAUAUUCAAUUAAUCAAGAUAUAGAUAUACUGAUUGGACCGACACUUAAUUCCUCAUACUAAAAACA